rnacentral:rRNA from 1 species
AUUGAACGCUGGCGGCAUGCCUUACACAUGCAAGUCGAACGGUAACAGGUCUUCGGAUGCUGACGAGUGGCGCACGGGUGAGUAAUACAUCGGAACGUGCCCGAUCGUGGGGGAUAACGAGGCGAAAGCUUUGCUAAUACCGCAUACGAUCUACGGAUGAAAGCGGGGGAUCUUCGGACCUCGCGCGGACGGAGCGGCCGAUGGCAGAUUAGGUAGUUGGUGGGAUAAAAGCUUACCAAGCCGACGAUCUGUAGCUGGUCUGAGAGGAUGAUCAGCCACACUGGGACUGAGACACGGCCCAGACUCCUACGGGAGGCAGCAGUGGGGAAUUUUGGACAAUGGGCGAAAGUCUGAUCCAGCCAUGCCGCGUGCAGGAUGAAGGCCUUCGGGUUGUAAACUGCUUUUGUACGGAACGAAAAGCCUCUUUCUAAUAAAGAGGGGUCAUGACGGUACCGUAAGAAUAAGCACCGGCUAACUACGUG